CCAUUUUGGUUUAGUACAAAAUCUUAGAAAACCUAAUCAUUUCUCUCUCGCCCUUCCCUUGAUCAUCAUUUGUGCUGCUCUUCCUCUUUAAAAAUUACUCAUCUGCACUCUUCACAUUUUUCUAAGAUCUCGUCAAAAAUCAUUGGGAUCAGAAAUUGGCUCACAAAGUGCAGUUGGCAGCAAGGAUUGGAGUUUCAAAUUUGUACAAGAAAACAAAGAAAUCAUUUUUUGAGACGUUAAAGACAUGUACAAUCAUGUGAAUGAGUGGUCGGGACUAAAAGGCUCAUUUGAUUGCAGAUUAUGCCUAUGUGAUAAUAAUGACGUAAUUUGAAGAAGUUAGUAUUGAGUUGAAACGAAAGCAAAAUUCAUGCAAUUUUGAACAAUGAAUUUAUUGAAUGGAAAUGUUUGUAAUUUCUUAU